CCUACGGGAGGCAGCAGUGAGGAAUAUUGGUCAAUGGUCGGGAGACUGAACCAGCCAAGCCGCGUGAGGGAUGAAGGUACAGAGUAUCGUAAACCUCUUUUGUCAGGGAACAAAGUCAGGGACGCGUCCCCGGAUGAGUGUACCUGAAGAAAAAGCAUCGGCUAACUCCGUGCCAGCAGCCGCGGUAAUACGGAGGAUGCGAGCGUUAUCCGGAUUUAUUGGGUUUAAAGGGUGCGGGGGCGGGCUGUUAAGUCAGCGGUAAAAGCCCGGGGCUCAACCCCGGCCAGCCGUUGAAACUGGCAGUCUUGAGUUGGAGAGAGGUAUGCGGAAUGCGCGGUGUAGCGGUGAAAUGCAUAGAUAUCGCGCAGAACUCCGAUUGCGAAGGCAGCAUGCCGGCUCCAAACUGACGCUGAGGCACGAAAGCGUGGGUAUCGAACAGGAUUAGAUACCCCAGUAGUC
rnacentral:rRNA from 1 species